AUGGCCAAUGAUGAUCGCCUUAGCAUCGGUGACGCUGGUUUCGGGUUCAGUGACAAGAACCUACUUGGAAGGGGAGGUUUUGGAAGUGUCUAUAGGGGUGUGCUUCGCAAGACUGGCAUGAAGGUCGCCGUGAAGAGGAUGUCACACGAUUCAAGGCGUAAGGGGGAGCUUCUCCUAGUAUAUGACUACAUGGAAAAUGGUAGUCUUGACAAGUACCUACACACAAGAAAUGGCCCAACUCUAUGUUGGUCCCAGAGGUAUUCGAUCAUCAAAGGUGUGGCGUCAAGUUUGUUGUAUCUACAUGAGGAUUGGGAGCAAGUCGUCAUCCAUAGAGAUGUAAAGGCAAGCAAUGUGCUCUUGGAUGGUAAGAUGAAUGGAAGGUUGGGCGAUUUUGGUCUUGCAAGGAUAUACGACCACGAAACCGCCGCUGAAACCACCCAUGUGGCUGGCACCAUGGGGUAUCUUGCGCCAGAACUCUCGCGCACCGGGAGGCCAACACCAUUCUCUGAUGUAUAUGCAUUUGGCGUGUUUCUCCUAGAGGUCACGUCUGGACGAAGGCCAAUCUUCAUCGAUGAGCAAAACAACCGGGUAUUGUUGGUUGAGUGGGUGCUUGAGCACCACCACAAUGGUUCUAUCCUCGACACAGUAGAUCCACGACUCGGAGGGGAAUUCAACGCGGAUGAGGUAACUAUCGUGCUCAAACUGGGUUUGCUAUGCACGCACCCAUCACCCAAUGCACGACCUAUCAUGCGAAAGGUCAUGCAAUACCUCGACCAUAGUCAACCGCCUCCUAAUUUAUCACCGACCUACAUAAGCUACGUCAUGAUGGCACAAAUGCAAAAUGAAGGGUUUGAUUCACACAACAUCCCGUGUUCUCAGCAUGCAAUGAGUGUUGCCACUUUGUCGGGUGAGUCUUCGGCGACAAUUUUACGAGAGGGAAGGUGA
rnacentral:rRNA from 1 species